UAGUCUGGGAUACCACUUGGAAACAGGUGCUAAUACCGGAUAGAAAGCGGAUCGCAUGAUCAGCUUUUAAAAGGCGGCGUAAGCUGUCGCUAUGGGAUGGCCCCGCGGUGCAUUAGCUAGUUGGUAAGGUAAAGGCUUACCAAGGCGAUGAUGCAUAGCCGAGUUGAGAGACUGAUCGGCCACAUUGGGACUGAGACACGGCCCAAACUCCUACGGGAGGCAGCAGAC
rnacentral:rRNA from 1 species